AAAGAAGCUCCAGCCAAUCUCGUGCCAGCAGCUGCGGUAAUACGGGAGGAGCGAGGGUUAUUCAUGAUGAUUGGGUGUAAAGCAGGACAAGGCGAUAAGUACAAGUUUUAUCUUUACCAAAAGCUUCACUUGAGGAAAAAUUUAAAAAACUAACUUAACAGAGGAAUUAUAGAGUUGAAUGCGGAACUAUCGGGGUAGAGGUGUAAUUCGUUUCAUCUCGAUAGGAACACCAAAGGCGAAAAGCAGCCAACUACUAAUUACCUGCCGCUCUACCUGUAAUCUGAGGUAGCAAACCGGAUUAGAUACCCGGGUAGUCUCAGACGUCAACGAUGGACGCUCGUUGGGAAUUCCAUAAAUAAUAUUAUUUAUGCUCCUAACUCAGCUAACGCGUAAGCGUCCCACCUAGUAAGUACACCCGCAAGGGUGAAAACUAAAUAGAAUAGGCUGUGCUAUAAACGACCAGAGGAACAUGCAACUUAAUUUGAUAUUACGCGACAAACCUUACCUAGGCUUGUAUUUUUGUUGAAGGGAGAUAUACGUUAAGCGCACAUCUACUGACCCUACAUAUUUAUGUGUGUAUGGUCUAUAAACAAAAACACGUUUUGCAUGAUCGUAUUCAGCUCGAUGUUGUGAAAUGUUAGGUUAAGUCCUUUAACGAGCGCAACCCAUGUCUUUAGUUGGAAUAAAUGAUAUUGAGAUAUUAAUUUAUUAAGAGUUGGCAGUUUUAAUUGCUACUUAACCUCUCUAGAGAAACUGCCGUGGAAAAAGCGGAGGAAGGAGUGGAUGACUACAGAUCACCAUGAACGUUAUGCUUAGGGCUGUAAGCGUGUUACAAUCGAAUUGACAAAGGGAAGCAACGAAGAAAUUCAUUGCGAAUCCUUAAACAAUUUCGUUAAUUAGGAUCGAAGGCUGCAACUCGCCUUCGUGAAUCUGGAUUUGGAAGUAAUCGUGGAGGAGUGCGCCACGGUGAAUAGGAAAAUAUAGCAAUUACUUCUUGCCCAGCACGCCUCAAGAGUGAAUUUAAUUAAAGGUUAAAACGCACAGAUGCGCGUUGCGUGUUUGUUUUUUCGAUUCUUCGUAUAUAUAUGCGUUACAUUGAAACUCCAAGAU
rnacentral:rRNA from 1 species